ACUAGGGGGGUUGUUUGAAGAACUCUGUGUUAAAAUCUUAUAAGGAAUGUUCCUGUCCAGCUAGCUCUCCUUUGAAUAGUCAGAGUUUCACAAAUAAUAAGAAAACAGUAGAAUUAUAAGAACAGUUUUUCUGCCAUUAAGUCUUUUCUUGUAAAAAUAUAUUUAAUAGCUUAUCCCCUUAUUGUAAAAAUUGUUUUAAAUGGGUUUUCAAAGUGGAAACAUUUUCCACAUUAUGAAAAUAUUCAUAUAUGUAUUGAUACAUGCACUAUUUAUCAAGCACUAUAAAAACAGUAAUUUUUAUCCAUUAUUUUCAGUUUUGUAGAUUUAUCUUAAAGAAAUCAUUUUCAAGGGAGAAAGAGCUCUGUAGACAUAGAUAUUUAUAGUAGUAUUAUCAUCGCAUAAAUUAAUCACCAGUCUAACUGUUUAGCCAUGAGGGAAAUGGAAAUAGUUAAAAAAAUGUUGCAUCAACUUGAGACCUAUUAUAUAUCCAUGGAAAUAUUAAUUAUGAGGUCAGUAUAGCCAAAAUAAAAGAAUUUACAAAAUUUUAUGAACACGUUCAUAUAAAAAUGUCUAUGCAAUGUAAAUUU